rnacentral:lncRNA from 1 species
UUUUGACAACCCAAUUUAAAGCAUACUUCAAUCUUUUCAGUAACCAUCUUCCAAAUUUGGUUUAAUUAAAUUUGUGACUCCAAUUUAAUGUGCUCACUAUCUAAAUGGAGUAAAAAUUAACUUAUGUUUAUUUUAUAUUAAAUAGCUCUUGUACUUGUUAAUUCGAUGGUUCAUCUACAACAAUUUCAGCACAAAUAUUAGC